GGGUUAAAGUCAUGCUGAGGCCCGGAUUUCUCAUGGCUACGUUGCUGGCUGUGGUGUCGGUCACGGGGUGUCCCAUAGUGGGUCGUCGACUUGUACUUUGGGAGGUCUGGACGGGCAUCAUCUAAGAAAAAAACACUUCUUGCUUUAGGGAAUGGAGUACAGUAUCAACAAGCUUCAGGAGCAGCCACUAAAAGCAGUUCAUAUAUGUAAGGAUCUGCUAUGCCUCCCUUCUG
rnacentral:lncRNA from 1 species